UUAUCACUGAAAUAUCGCAUGGCUAUCAGCCAAUCAGAUUCGAAAACCAGACAGAACUGUUGUAUAAAUGUAUUUAUUAAUUUUGUAUUAUUAUUUUGCCUUUUAGCUGCUGUGAGAAAAAAUCAUCUGACACAACAAGCUACCGAUCAGGAGAUAGAAGCAAAUAUACAAAGAUGGCUUCAGCUUUCUCCUGAUAGAGAUGGAGACUAACAUAUGGCUGAGAAGUGGUACCAAUAAUAAAACCUGUAUUGGCCCAGUUCAGGGCCAGUUAAGGGUGAUUAACUGGCUGAAAUUCAGGCCGGUUAUGGCCCAUGUAUGACCCUUGUCUUUAAUCCAGUUCUGGGCCACUUCAGGGCUGUCGUUCUUUGCGGUACUUGGGCCGAGGGAAACGUGAUCGUGUGGCCCGGAGCUGGGCCAGAAAACAUUUGCUAUGUGGGAUCCAAAUGUGGUUUUAAAUCCGAUACAUAUCCGAUCUCUGGACAUGCGACCUACAUCUAAACACGCACAUUCGCUUCUCAUUGGAAUUCCAAGCCAUCACACAGCGAGGGUUUGCUCACUAAAAGGAAGCUUUAAUGUUGUAUAAUGAAGCAGACGUUCCUGUAUGCACUCACACAAAAAAUUUGCAGCUUUAUUAUUGAGGUGGGAACUUUAUAUGUCUAUGUAACCCGUGCGGCUCGCUUAUGCCCAGCGUGAUGUGCAGCCAGCAACACCAGGUAUUAAAACUUGGGCUGCGUGGUGUUACAUUGUGUGGAUGCAGAAACAGACACGGGACAGCAGGCAGCAGAUUCACUGGAUCUUUUUACUGUAUAACAGAGACAUAAGCAGCCUCAGAUUGAGUAGCCCUUAUAACACUCUCUCAAUCACAUGUGAUACAUCACCCAGCCCUAGUGACCAUGCAUCACUUAAAGGAGAAGCGCACCUUUAGAUCAGGUAUCAUAAAACGUAUAAAAGAACAAUUUUGUGUGAAUAACAAUAUUUACUAGUAUACUUUGUAUACCCGUUACACUCACCCCCCAGAAUUUACACAAAAUUUCACAGAGUAUAACAAAAACAAGAGCACAGGUCUUGAGAAUGACUUGGUCUACACUCCAGAAAAAAAAAAACAGUGAAGACUAUCAACAUGAAAAGUUACCCAACUAAGGGAUACAAAUAUGAAAGAAGUUGGCCAAGCCACUACACAUGUUGUAGGCAUACCAAAGUGCCUUUUGCACUUUGAAAAACUCAGACCAUUUGCUUAAACAGAAUACACAUGAGAAAAUACAAUACAUUACACAGCAGUAUCAGAGAGCAAUGCAAUACACAGAUUCAAACAUGAAUAACAGGAGAAAUGGACUCCACACCAAGUAAGGUCUCAAGUUGAACCAUUAACUCAAUCAGCCUACGAACAGGCUUAAUUACUCUACCAAGCCUGAUAAUGUAACGAUUGUCAGGGUUAUUGUCAACCGUAGGAUCGUGCAAAUCUGUAGAAACAGGGACAGUAGGUGAAAAAGCACUUGCUACAGUGUCAGGGUCAACAACAGAUAAAUCAGCUUGUGCUUCAGAAACAUCUGAAAAGAAUGAGAUGAGACCCAAGAAGCUGUACAAUCAUCAUCACACACAGCCAUGUGAGAAAUGACAGAUAGAGACUCUGCAUGUGACAAACCAUUAGUGACAGGUAUUGUUGACUCAGUUACAUCACAUGAGCAAUUCCAGCGUUAUGGACGUGACAUUUGAGGUCAAAACUUGAAAUAUAAAUUCUCAUAGAAUGUAUUCAUUAUCAAUAUAUUGAACCAUCUCUUUAUAUUUUCUUAAAACCCUAAUCAUAGAAUUCAGGCAUCAGAAAAAUAUCAGUCUGUACACGUGUUUUAUAUUUUAGAAGAGGAAAAUAAAUAUGCGUUACGGACGUGACAAAAAAAUAUGCAGAUUUUGGGUGACAACAUACUUUGAAGAAAUUCUGCGAAUUAAAAUGCACAACCCAAAAGAAAUAAUACCAACUGAAAGGAUAAGGGUUGGCUCUCUAUAGAACAUAAAUUAUUUAUUUUUGUUUAUUUUUUGUUUUUGCAUUUAUGAGGAAAAAGCAUCGUUACGGACGUGACAGAUCUGAAAUCGGCACUUGCCUGACUGUGGAAAAUCAGAUAAAAUGCUUUAAAAACUUUAACAGAGACCUAUUUGUCGGUCUCUGCUGGAUAUUUAAACCAACAAACUUUUACCUUUGAGACAUCAGUACGGUAAGGAUCCACAAUUAAUCAAAUUAACACUGAAAUCACUGUGUUAUAGAUUAGCCUAUGUUCACGCGGAUCUCUCGUGCUGUUAAAUGCGUGUGCAUGUUCAAAACUCAUUCGGACAUGAUACUGCUUGCUAAUGUGGUGUUUACUUUAGACCCCGGAACAUAUAAAAUUUCUAAGAUACAUCAGCAGCUAUUAAAUAUCAUAUCAUUAAGUUCCGGAGAUCGCCGGUUUCCUCUCAGUCCACGGUUAGAUUAAUUGAGACAUUGUCCGAUUGUAUAAGUGUGUAGGCCUGUGUCUAUAUAGGACAAACCGUGUGGAGAAUGGUAUGCAAAACACAAACGUGUGUCACAAUGAUCGCAAUAUUAUGUUUUGUGUCAAAAUGAUCGUACUGUUUAUACCCAUUUUGCGUGGCUGAAUGCGCAAUCUUGAGUAAAAAUAACUGCGUUAUGUUUGUCAAAAUAAUUGCAAUAUUAGCCAAUGCAUUGUAAGAAUAACCGACAUGUUAUACAUUGUCUCAAAAUCAAAAUUAAUACUUCAUUUCAUUUAUGCAUGAUUUACUGAGUUUAAUAAUGGGUGGCAUUUGGAUGUUAUGAAGAUUAAGAAGAAGCAGUAAAACUAUGUGUGAAAGUCCAAAAAAAGGUGAGCAUAAAGUGCACUGCAAAGAAUAUUUUAAUUUAUUGUUUACUGUGAACAUGUUUAAUAAAUAAUUGAAAAAAAUAAAAUUGACUUUUUUUUCUACAAAGGUCAACAUUUCUAACUGAAUAUUAUUGACCAUUCUGUAGCAACAAGAGCUCUGUAAAACAGAUGUCCAGGAAAGACUGCCUCUUCAAAGUGAUACCUCCCUCUGUUGUCUACUUUUGGGUUGAAAGUAUUAAUCACUUGGUCAGGUGUCACCCAAGCUUUAUCUUCCAUCACAGCUGCUGACUGGAGCUCAGAGGACUGGUGUCCAGAACUUGUGUCAGCAGAUGUGAUUUCUGGAAGCAGAAAUGUAUGGACACCUGACUGUUCUGCCUUGGAGUAGAUUUUAUGUCGCACUUCUCCCCAUGAGACUGGCUCAAUGUGAUGGACUGACUGAGUGCCCGAAACAGAAUCUACAAAUGAAGCAGCAUCCGUCACAAGGAUAGCCUGUCUGCUGAGGACAUCAGUGUUAACAGCACGUUUCACUGUUGCUCCCACACCAUCCACUGCACCUUUGCCGUGGCUUGUGGCAAAGAAGUGCCACUGUACUCUUAAAGAUGGAAACAGCUCCUUGAAUGUGGUUGACAGGAAACACCAGAUGAACUUGUUUUUAAACUGAGAGGCAGCUCCAUCACUAAAUAUGUGCAUCACUCUCAUUGCAGGAUGUUUCUCUUGAAUGUCUUCCACAAUCUUUGUGAGAAAUGCUGCCACAGACCUCUUGUCGUGUUCCAGGCUGUCACUCACUAUGGCAUAUGACUCUGGAUCUCCAUCAGACCACAGAACAGAGGGAAACACUGUGACCUGCCUUUGAUGCCAGUGUGCUGACUGGAUCUGAUCCUGUGAUGCAGAAAUUUUGUAGCAGCUGCCUUGAGAAAACCAAGUACAUCACCUAGUGUGCCACUCCUCUGGACCUUAUUCGGCAGCCCUCCUGUUGCUUGCCAUGUGUACCAGGUCACAUUCAUUUGUUUUUCUUCCUCUGGGAUAUUACUGAGGACAUGCAUUUCCAGCAGCUUGCCAUUCAUGCAUUCAGCACACUGACCUAACAUACAGUGGGGACUGUCUGGAUUGCAGGCCACAGCUUCAACAAAAUUCUGUGUGCUCUGGAAUGCUUGCCUUGGAAUAAUAUGUUGUACACAAUCCAGGGCCAACUUAAUGUUUUCAUGGUAACGGCAAAGACAAACAUUUCUUGGAGUAUCUGAACACCGGAGUACAUGAGAUGGUCGAAGCUCAGCAAAUUUAGAUUUCCCAAUUAUAGACUCUGGAUGUUCAAUCUUGAAGCAGCGGUAGGCCUCUAGAAUAGACAUUGUUAAAUGCCGUUUCUGGAUUUUCUUUUUUACUCGUCCCUCUCUGACUGUGACCACAUCCCUCAUCCCUGGUGCUUGCCUUGAGAUGUCAUCUCUCUCAUAGAACUCCCUGACUUUAUCAUAUGUAGUAGUUGUGCUGGUCAUACUAUUCAUUUUCUUUUUUUCUGGAAGAAGGCACAGUGAUGUUGCGAUUUUUUUUUUUUUUUUUAUUACUGUACAUUUUUUUUCAAGGGCUGCUAGGUAAAGCUUGAAGUGCUCUUUUUACUGCCUUGCUCAGAGACUGUCUUGAUUUAUAUGGUGAAUUCUGUGGACAGAAUUCCGGGAGUUGACUCCUGGAAAGCGGGAAUCUGUGACUUCUUCAGCAAACGCCUUUUUUCUGUAUUAGUCUUGCAAGCUUCCUGACUCUUUCUGCUUCUUGUUUUGAUUGUGUUUCUUUCUUUCUUUGUCUUUCUGCUUUUUUUCUGUUCCUUUCCUGUUCCUUGAAAUUUUCAUUAUCCCUCUUCCUCUCUCGGAAUGCCCUUUGUCUUUCAGCAUUAUUUUUUGCCAUUGCGUACUGUAGGAUGAGAUGUAUAUGUAAAUUAAUUUUAUUGUUGUUUCUUUGUUAUUGUAUUUGUUAUUACUGGUUCAUUUUUGUUGUUGUAUUGUUAAUUACUGUUAUUAACAUUGAUAUUUUGUAAUAAAAAAUAGUUAAAACUGACUAAGCUGAUUCUUUCAUGGCCAUAGUGUGUUCGGUGUAACCAGCAUUUAUUCAGACACCUUAUAGUUUAAAAAUGGUAAAAUAUGACGAGAAUUUUUUCUGUGUCAGAAAAAAAUUAAUC